rnacentral:rRNA from 1 species
GACGAACGCUGGCGGCGUGGAUUAGGCAUGCAAGUCGAACGGUAUCAUCCUUUCGGGGGUGAGAGAGUGGCGAACUGGUGAGUAACACGUAGGUUAUCUACCCUCAAGACGGGGACAACCCAGGGAAACUUGGGCUAAUACCGGAUGUGAGCAACUUUUAGUUGUUUGAAAGGUGGCGUAAGCUGUCGCUUGGGGAUGAGCCUGCGUCCUAUUAGUUAGUUGGUGAGGUAACGGCUACACCUAGGCAAUGAUAGGUAGGCGGCCUUAACGGGUGGUCGCCCACACUGGGAUUGAGAUACGGCCCAGACUCCUACGGGAGGCAGCAGUCGAGAAUAGUCUACAAUGGUCGGAAGACUGAUAGUGCGACGCCGCGUGAACGAUGAAUCCCUUCGGGGUGUAAAGUUCUUUUAUAUGUGAGCAGUGCUUCUUAUAUUAACAGUAUGGGGAGAGAGAUAUUAGCAUAUGAAUAAGCAACGGCUAACUCCGUGCCAGCAGCCGCGGU